rnacentral:lncRNA from 1 species
UACAUACUAGUUCACAUGUAUCAUUUAAUAGUGUUGUGAAAUGAAGAUUAUUGAUUUUGAAUGAAUUAUUUUAAUUCUCAGGAAGUACUUGGGUGUUUGAUAAACAGAAUAUGAUCUCCAAUUUUGCUUGUAUUCCAUAUCCAACAUUACUUUGUCAUAUCUAUCGAACCACGCUUUAGGUGACUGCUUGAGCCUUAAAGUGCCUUAUUCAAUUUACACACUUUGUUUACUUGUUUCUUUGGCAAAUCUUGGUGGAAUUUCUAUAUGUAUCUCUUGUAAUUAUC